rnacentral:rRNA from 1 species
CAUGCUCAGAUUGAACGCUGGCGGCAGGCUUAACACAUGCAAGUCGAGCGGGGGAAGGUAGCUUGCUACUGGACCUAGCGGCGGACGGGUGAGUAAUGCUUAGGAAUCUGCCUAUUAGUGGGGGACAACAUCUCGAAAGGGAUGCUAAUACCGCAUACGUCCUACGGGAGAAAGCAGGGGAUCUUCGGACCUUGCGCUAAUAGAUGAGCCUAAGUCGGAUUAGCUAGUUGGUGGGGUAAAGGCCUACCAAGGCGACGAUCUGUAGCGGGUCUGAGAGGAUGAUCCGCCACACUGGGACUGAGACACGGCCCAGACUCCUACGGGAGGCAGCAGUGGGGAAUAUUGGACAAUGGGGGGAACCCUGAUCCAGCCAUGCCGCGUGUGUGAAGAAGGCCUUAUGGUUGUAAAGCACUUUAAGCGAGGAGGAGGCUACUUUAGUUAAUACCUAGAGAUAGUGGACGUACUCGCAGAAUAAGCACC